rnacentral:rRNA from 1 species
UACGUAGGGGGCAAGCGUUGUCCGGAAUCAUUGGGCGUAAAGAGCGUGUAGGCGGUCCGGUAAGUCCGCUGUGAAAGUCGGGGGCUCAACCCUCGAAUGCCGGUGGAUACUGUCGGGCUAGAGUGCGGAAGAGGCGAGUGGAAUUCCUGGUGUAGCGGUGGAAUGCGCAGAUAUCAGGAGGAACACCGAUGGCGAAGGCAGCUCGCUGGGACGGUACUGACGCUGAGGCGCGAAAGCGUGGGGAGCGAACAGG